rnacentral:rRNA from 1 species
GCAAGCUUACCCUGUGAAGGUCCUAUAGUAAGCAAAAUGGGUAUAUCCCAAAACGUCAGGUCGAGGUGUAGCUUAUGAGGUGGGAAGAAAUGGGCUACAUUUUCUACACCAGAAUAAUACGAACAGCACUAUGAAAAUUUAGAGCUCGAAGGUGGAUUUAGUAGUAAAAAACAAAUAGAGAGUCUUUUUGAAAUAGGCUCUGAGACGCGUACACACCGCCCGUCACUCUCCCCAUUUUACCUAUAUAAUCAGUUAAAUAAAAAAU